rfam:Pseudomonas fluorescens HK44 Contig8, whole genome shotgun sequence.
AUUUAUGGUGGCUGUGUGCGGGAGACCUUCGGGUCUGCCGAGGGCCUAACAACUCGGUCUUGCAGACCUGCAUACAGCUGCCACCCAU